GAGAAUAGUCUACAAUGGUCGAAAGACUGAUAGUGCGACGCCGCGUGAACGAAGAAUCCCUUCGGGGUGUAAAGUUCUUUUUUAAUCGAGCAAUGCCUUUUAUGUGAUGAGCAUGAGAGGAGAGAUAUUAGGUUAAGAAUAAGCAACGGCUAACUCCGUGCCAGCAGCCGCGGUAACACGGGGGUUGCUAGCGUUGUCCGGAAUUACUAGGCGUAAAGGGCAGGUAGGCGGAUAGAUAAGUUUGAUGUUUAAGGCAGCGGCUCACCCGCUGUAAGGCAUUAGAUACUGUUUAUCUGGAAUGCGGUUGGGGAAGACAGAAUUCCUGGUGUAGCGGUGGAAUGCGCAGAGAUCAGGAGGAAUACCGAAGGCGAAGGCAGUCUUCUAAGCCGUAAUUGACGCUAAACUGCGAAGGUGUGGGUAUCAAACA
rnacentral:rRNA from 1 species